GGCUUGGUGGUGCAGUGGGUAGCACUGUCGUCUCACAGCAAGAAGGUCCUGGGUUCAAAUCCACCCUGGGCCU
rnacentral:tRNA from 1 species